CAGUCGCCGCGGGAAUACGAAGGGGGCUAGCGUUGUUCGGAUUUACUGGGCGUAAAGCGCACGUAGGCGGACUUUUAAGUCAGGGGUGAAAUCCCGGGGCUCAACCCCGGAACUGCCUUUGAUACUGGAAGUCUUGAGUAUGGUAGAGGUGAGUGGAAUUCCGAGUGUAGAGGUGAAAUUCGUAGAUAUUCGGAGGAACACCAGUGGAGAAGGCGGCUCACUGGACCAUUACUGACGCUGAGGUGCGAAAGCGUGGGGAGCAAACAGGAUUAGAUACCCCUGUAGUCCCUGUCUCUUAUAC
rnacentral:rRNA from 1 species